UGGUCAAGUUAUUAAGGGUGCAGGGCGGAUGCCUUGGCACUAGGAGCCGAUGAAGGACGUGAUAAGCUGCGAUAAGCUUCGGGGAGUUGCACGUAAACUUUGAUCCGAAGAUUUCCGAAUGAGGAAACUCACUUAGAGUAAUGUCUAAGUAUCAUUAAGUGAAUACAUAGCUUAAUGAGGGGAACUCAGGGAACUGAAACAUCUAAGUACCUGAAGGAAGAGAAAGAAAUUCGAUUCCGUAAGUAGCGGCGAGCGAACGCGGAUUAGCCCAAACCAAUAAAGUUUUCUUUAUUGGGGUUGAGGACAUAUCAUAACGAAGAGGUAUCGUAAUUGAAGAGGUUUGGAAAGACCCACCACAGAAGGUAAUAGUCCUGUAUGUUAAACGA
rnacentral:rRNA from 1 species